rnacentral:rRNA from 1 species
AACGAACGCUGGCGGCAUGCCUAACACAUGCAAGUCGAACGAGACCUUCGGGUCUAGUGGCGCACGGGUGCGUAACGCGUGGGAACCUGCCCUUAGGUUCGGAAUAACUCCCCGAAAGGGGUGCUAAUACCGGAUAAUGUCUUCGGACCAAAGAUUUAUCGCCUUUGGAUGGGCCCGCGUUGGAUUAGCUAGUUGGUAGGGUAAAAGCCUACCAAGGCGACGAUCCAUAGCUGGUCUGAGAGGAUGAUCAGCCACACUGGGACUGAGACACGGCCCAGACUCCUACGGGAGGCAGCAGUGGAGAAUAUUGGACAAUGGGCGAAAGCCUGAUCCAGCGAUGCCGCGUGAGUGAUGAAGGCCUUAGGGUUGUAAAGCUCUUUUACCCGGGAUGAUAAUGACAGUACCGGGAGAAUAAGCUCCGGCUAACUCCGUG